CCGCAACGAGCGCAACCCUUAUCCUUUGUUGCCAGCACGUAAUGGUGGGAACUCAAAGGAGACUGCCGGUGAUAAACCGGAGGAAGGUGGGGAUGACGUCAAGUCAUCAUGGCCCUUACGAGUAGGGCUACACACGUGCUACAAUGGCAGAUACAAAGAGAAGCGACCUCGCGAGAGCAAGCGGAACUCAUAAAGUCUGUCGUAGUCCGGAUUGGAGUCUGCAACUCGACUCCAUGAAGUCGGAAUCGCUAGUAAUCGUAGAUCAGAAUGCUACGGUGAAUACGUUCCCGGGCCUUGUACACACCGCCCGUCACACCAUGGGAGUGGGUUGCAAAAGAAGUAGGUAGCUUAACCUUCGGGAGGGCGCUUACCACUUUGUGAUUCAUGACUGGGGUGAAGUCGUAACAAGGUAACCGUAGGGGAACCUGCGGUUGGAUCACCUCCUUA
rnacentral:rRNA from 1 species